rnacentral:rRNA from 1 species
UGGGGAAUAUUGGACAAUGGGGGCAACCCUGAUCCAGCAAUGCCGCGUGUGUGAAGAAGGUUUUCGGAUUGUAAAGCACUUUCGACGGGGACGAUGAUGACGGUACCCGUAGAAGAAGCCCCGGCUAACUUCGUGCCAGCAGCCGCGGUAAUACGAAGGGGGCUAGCGUUGCUCGGAAUGACUGGGCGUAAAGGGCGUGUAGGCGGUUUGUACAGUCAGAUGUGAAA